rnacentral:rRNA from 1 species
GACGAACGCUGGCGGCGUGCUUAACACAUGCAAGUCGAACGGAAAGGCCCUUCGGGGUACUCGAGUGGCGAACGGGUGAGUAACACGUGGGUGAUCUGCCCUGCACUUUGGGAUAAGCCUGGGAAACUGGGUCUAAUACCGAAUAGGACCACGCGCUUCAUGGUGUGUGGUGGAAAGCUUUUGCGGUGUGGGAUGGGCCCGCGGCCUAUCAGCUUGUUGGUGGGGUAAUGGCCUACCAAGGCGACGACGGGUAGCCGGCCUGAGAGGGUGACCGGCCACACUGGGACUGAGGUACGGCCCAGACUCCUACGGGAGGCAGCAGUGGGGAAUAUUGCACAAUGGGCGCAAGCCUGAUGCAGCGACGCCGCGUGAGGGAUGACGGCCUUCGGGUUGUAAACCUCUUUCACCAGGGACGAAGCGUAAGUGACGGUACCUGGAGAAGAAGCACCGGCCAACUACGUG